GCUGGCGGCACGCCUUAUACAUGCAAGUCGAACGAAGUAGUAAUACUUAGUGGCAGACGGGUGAGUAACAUGUGGGUAUCUUCCCUUUGGUUAGGAAUAACACGAGGAAACUUGUGCUAAUACCUCAUAAGUCUUUACGGAGAAAGCUUUAUGCGCCAAUGGAUGAGCCCGCAUUUGAUUAGUUUGUUGGUGGGGUAAUGGCCUACCAAGACUUUGAUCAAUAGCUGAUCUGAGAGGAUGAUCAGCCACAUUGGGACUGAGACACGGCCCAAACUCCUACGGGAGGCAGCAGUAGGGAAUAUUGCACAAUGGAGGAAACUCUGAUGCAGCGAUGCCGCGUGAGUGAAGAAGGCCCUUGGGUUGUAAAGCUCUUUCGUCGGGGAAGAAAAUGACUGUACCCGAAUAAGAAGGUCCGGCUAACUUCGUGCCAGCAGCCGCGGUAAUACGAAGGGACCUAGCGUAGUUCGGAAUUACUGGGCUUAAAGAGUUCGUAGGUGGUUAAAAAAGUUGGUUGUGAAAUCCCGGAGCUUAACUCCGGAACUGCAAUCAAAACUUUUUAGCUAGAGUAUGAUAGAGGAAAGCAGAAUUUCUAGUGUAGAGGUGAAAUUCGUAGAUAUUAGAAAGAAUACCAAUUGCGAAGGCAGCUUUCUGGAUCAUUACUGACACUGAGGAACGAAAGCAUGGGUAGCGAAGAGGAUUAGAUACCCUCGUAGUCCAUGCCGUAAACGAUGUGUGUUAGACGUUGGAAAUUUAUUUUUAGUGUCGCAGCGAAAGCAAUAAACACACCGCCUGGGGAGUACGACC
rnacentral:rRNA from 1 species